UACGUAGGGAGCAAGCGUUGUCCGGAAUCAUUGGGCGUAAAGCGUGCGUAGGCGGCCCGGUAAGUCCGUUGUAAAAGUCAAAGGCUCAACCUUUGAAAGCCGAUGGAUACUGCCGGGCUAGAGUCCGGAAGAGGCGAGUGGAAUUCCUGGUGUAGCGGUGGAAUGCGCAGAUAUCAGGAGGAACACCGGUGGUGUAGACGGCUUUCUGGACCGUAACUGACGCUGAGACACGAAGGCGUGGGUAGCAAACAGG
rnacentral:rRNA from 1 species